GACGAACGCUGGCGGCGUGCUUAACACAUGCAAGUCGAACGGAAAGGCCCUGCUUUUGUGGGGUGCUCGAGUGGCGAACGGGUGAGUAACACGUGGGUAACCUGCCCUUGACUUUGGGAUAACUUCAGGAAACUGGGGCUAAUACCGGAUAGGAGCUCCUGCUGCAUGGUGGGGGUUGGAAAGUUUCGGCGGUUGGGGAUGGACUCGCGGCUUAUCAGCUUGUUGGUGGGGUAGUGGCUUACCAAGGCUUUGACGGGUAGCCGGCCUGAGAGGGUGACCGGCCACAUUGGGACUGAGAUACGGCCCAGACUCCUACGGGAGGCAGGAGUGGGGAAUAUUGCACAAUGGGCGGAAGCCUGAUGCAGCAACGCCGCGUGCGGGAUGACGGCCUUCGGGUUGUAAACCGCUUUCGCCUGUGACGAAGCGUGAGUGACGGUAAUGGGGAAAGAAGCACCGGCUAACUACGG
rnacentral:rRNA from 1 species